rnacentral:rRNA from 1 species
ACAGGGAUUGCCUUAGUAGCGGCGAGUGAAGCGGCAAAAGCUCAAAUUUGAAAUCUGGCGCCUUCGGUGUCCGAGUUGUAAUUUGAAGAUUGUAACCUUGGGGUUGGCUCUUGUCUAUGUUUCUUGGAACAGGACGUCACAGAGGGUGAGAAUCCCGUGCGAUGAGAUGCCCAAUUCUAUGUAAGGUGCUUUCGAAGAGUCGAGUUGUUUGGGAAUGCAGCUCUAAGUGGGUGGUAAAUUCCAUCUAAAGCUAAAUAUUGGCGAGAGACCGAUAGCGAACAAGUACAGUGAUGGAAAGAUGAAAAGAACUUUGAAAAGAGAGUGAAAAAGUACGUGAAAUUGUUGAAAGGGAAGGGUUUGAGAUCAGACUCGAUAUUUUGUGAGCCUUGCCUUCGUGGCGGGGUGACCCGCAGCUUAUCGGGCCAGCAUCGGUUUGGGCGGUAGGAUAAUGGCGUAGGAAUGUGACUUUACUUCGGUGAAGUGUUAUAGCCUGCGUUGAUGCUGCCUGCCUAGACCGAGGACUGCGCAUUUAUC